UGGGGAAUUUUGGACAAUGGGCGCAAGCCUGAUCCAGCCAUGCCGCGUGAGUGAAGAAGGCCUUCGGGUUGUAAAGCUCUUUCGCAAGGAAAGAAAACUUAUCUACUAAUACUAGGUGAGGUUGACGGUACCUUGAUAAGAAGCACCGGCUAACUACNUG
rnacentral:rRNA from 1 species